GGCAUGUGGAAAUGAGCAUGUUGUGGCAUUAGUCACUGCUGGGGAGGUUUAUAAAGGGAGUGAUCUUCUUUGUUAUUCUUGGGGUGGCAACACCCAUGGUCAGUUAGGCUUGGGAGACAGGCAGAGCAGACAGUAUCCUGAAGUUAUUGAGCCCUUCAAUUCAGAUGCCCCUUGGACAGUGUAUGAGGUAGCAUGUGGAGCUUUUCACACUGCUUUACUAGCUCAGAGAAGUCCAAGUGAUACAUUAGAAAGUGUAUGCUGGACAUUUGGCCAGGGAGAUAAUGGGCAAUUAGGUCAAGGGACAACCCAAAGUACGUUGUCUCCUGAACCAGUGAAAGGGUUACCGCGGAAUGCGUUUCUCAUUUCUGUUGACUGUGGUUUGUUUCACACAAGUGUUGUCUCUUCUGCUGGAGAUGUGUGGUCAUGGGGAAUGGAG
rnacentral:misc_RNA from 1 species